GUGCCAGCCGCCGCGGUAAUACGUAGGGUGCGAGCGUUAAUCGGAAUUACUGGGCGUAAAGCGUGCGCAGGCGGUUUCUUAAGCCAGACGUGAAAUCCCCGGGCUUAACCUGGGAACUGCGUUUGGAACUGGGAGACUAGAGUGUGUCAGAGGGAGGUGGAAUUCCGCGUGUAGCAGUGAAAUGCGUAGAUAUGCGGAGGAACACCGAUGGCGAAGGCAGCCUCCUGGGAUAACACUGACGCUCAUGCACGAAAGCGUGGGGAGCAAACAGGAUUAGAAACCCCCGUAGUCC
rnacentral:rRNA from 1 species